CCGUUGCUCUCUGUUUGCACUGAGGCAGUAGAGUCACCAUCUAGGUGACAGACCUAGCUGCCUACCAUGAGGACCGCAGCGUGCGGACUGCUGCGCAGAGGAGUCACUGCUUUGGAGCUCAGAGUCUUAGAGAUUUCAGUUCCACGACUUCUGCUCCCCGCCUCCCCCAGAAGUUAAUGAUCUGUAAGGUAAGUUUCUGAAAGUUCUAGCAAAGGCUUAGUAUUUAAAGGAAACCUGCCCUCAGCCUGUUUAACAUGCAAAUAUUCACCUUCAGUAUACUCAUUAAAUUUGUUAUUUUGCAAUAAACAAGGG
rnacentral:lncRNA from 1 species